rnacentral:tRNA from 1 species
GAACCUAGUAGUUUAAUUAGAGAAAACAUGACAUUCUAAGUCAGCAAUGAUGGUGCAAGUCCAUCCUAGGUUUU